GUAAGCUUUCUUUAUUUGUGAUUUGUAGGUUGUUGGCAUCUUUGACCUAAACCAUACAAAUGACUCUCUUUCAUGCAUAAUAUCAACCUAUUCGGUGAGUGAGGCAUAACCUAGUGGGGAGUGGGAUUCAACAGUCAUCCUAAUCUCCUCUCAGAAUUACCUCUGAUACUCCUACUCCUCUUCAAACAGAAUCAACCAAAUAUCUUCAGCUCUGAAGGGAAAUCUCUCUGCAGGGCCUUGUUUUGUUUUUAUUCUUUCUCUGCCCUCUACUACCCUGGAUCGAAGAUUAACUUUUUUUUGUCUUGUUAUCAUCAUUUUUCUCAACUGAGUCUGUCUUCAUCACCCUGGUCUUCAUUUUCUUUUCAUUAAUGUCAGGUCUAUUGCCUGACAUAUUCACAGUUGCUACUGUGUUCUCUACUCUGCUGUGUCAGCUGGUUCUACCUCAGUAGCUAACCUUGUCUGAACUAUUAACCCAUCCCAUAUUA
rnacentral:lncRNA from 1 species